rnacentral:rRNA from 1 species
ACGGGAGGCAGCAGUAGGGAAUAUUGGGCAAUGGAGGAAACUCUGACCCAGCAACGCCGCGUGAAGGAUGAAGGUUUUCGGAUUGUAAACUUCUGUUAUGAGAGAAAAAUAAAUGAUGGUAUCUCAUGAGUAAGCCCCGGCUAACUAUGUGCCAGCAGCCGCGGUAAUACAUAGGGGGCAAGCGUUGUCCGGAUUUACUGGGCGUAAAGAGAGCGUAGGCGGUUUUGUAAGUCAAUGGUGAAAGCCCGGGGCUCAACUCCGGAAUUGCCGUUGAUACUGCAUUACUAGAGUGUGGGAGAGGAAGAUGGAAUUCCUAGUGUAGCGGUGGAAUGCGUAGAUAUUAGGAGGAACAUCGGCGGCGAAAGCGAUCUUCUGGAACAUUACUGACGCUGAGGCUCGAAAGCGUGGGGAGCAAACAGGAUUAGAUACCCUGGUA